AGUCCAGCUCUCCGUGCGGCCUCCCAGCCUCUCCCGAGCCUUCUUUUCCUGGCGAUUGUUUGAAUGCAGUUCCUUGCAACCCAAAAGCUACACUGAGACAGAGUCCACCAGAUGGAGCAGAUGGAGGGAGAAUUGGGGCAGCCCAGCGUAGCAUCAUAGUGGUAGGAAGGUCAAAUUCCUCAUGGACAGCUCAGGGAGAGGCGACAGGAAACCAGAGCCGUGUGGAAAAGUAGGGAGAUCCCAUCCGUAUGGGAUUCG